rnacentral:rRNA from 1 species
AGGCAAGUGCGGCAGCUACACAUGCAAGUCGAGCGCGCCCUUCGGGGUGAGCGGCGGACGGGUUAGUAACGCGUGGGAAUGCGCCCAGAUCUAAGGAAUAGCCACUGGAAACGGUGAGUAAUACCUUAUACGCCCUUCGGGGGAAAGAUUUAUCGGAUUUGGAUCGGCCCGCGUUAGAUUAGGUAGUUGGUGGGGUAAUGGCCUACCAAGCCUACGAUCUAUAGCUGGUUUUAGAGGAUGAUCAGCAACACUGGGACUGAGACACGGCCCAGACUCCUACGGGAGGCAGCAGUGGGGAAUCUUGGACAAUGGGGGCAACCCUGAUCCAGCCAUGCCGCGUGAGUGAUGAAGGCCUUAGGGUCGUAAAGCUCUUUCGCCUGUGAUGAUAAUGACAGUAGCAGGUAAAGAAACCCCGGCUAACUCCGUGCCAGCAGCCGCGGUAAUACAGAUGGGGUUAGCGUUGUUCGGAAUUACUGGGCGUAAAGCGCGCCUAGGCGGAUUAUUCACUUUGAGGUGAAAUCCCCGGGCUCAACCCUCGAACUGCCUCUAAUUUGCU